AGAGUUUGAUCCUGGCUCAGGAUGAACGCUGGCGGCGUGCUUAACACAUGCAAGUCGAACGGGGAUGACAUUUUCGAAGCGAUUAGUUUACUAAGAGUAGAGAAGAAAUCAUCUUAGUGGCGGACGGGUGAGUAACGCGUGGGUAACCUGCCUUACACUGGGGGAUAACACUUAGAAAUAGGUGCUAAUACCGCAUAAUAGGAGAAGACGCAUGUCUUAUCCUUGAAAACUCCGGUGGUGUAAGAUGGACCCGCGUCUGAUUAGCCAGUUGGCGGGGUAACGGCCCACCAAAGCGACGAUCAGUAGCCGGCCUGAGAGGGUGAACGGCCACAUUGGGACUGAGACACGGCCCAAACUCCUACGGGAGGCAGCAGUGGGGAAUAUUGGACAAUGGGGGGAACCCUGAUCCAGCGACGCCGCGUGAGUGAAGAAGUAUCUCGGUAUGUAAAGCUCUAUCAGCAGGGAAGAAAGAAAUGACGGUACCUGACUAAGAAGCCCCGGCUAACUACGUG
rnacentral:rRNA from 1 species